UACGUAGGGUGCAAGCGUUGUCCGGAAUGAUUGGGCGUAAAGAGCUCGUAGGCGGUUUGUUGCGUCGGCUGUGAAAUCCCGAGGCUCAACCUCGGGUCUGCAGUCGAUACGAGCAAACUAGAGUGUUGCAGGGGAGACUGGAAUUCCUGGUGUAGCGGUGAAAUGCGCAGAUAUCAGGAGGAACACCGGUGGCGAAGGCGGGUCUCUGGGCAGCAACUGACGCUGAGGAACGAAAGCGUGGGGAGCGAACAGG
rnacentral:rRNA from 1 species